GACGAACGCUGGCGGCGUGCUUAACACAUGCAAGUCGAACGAUGACGACCGAGCUUGCUCGGUCUGAUUAGUGGCGAACGGGUGAGUAACACGUGAGCAACCUGCCCUUCACUCUGGGAUAACCUCGGGAAAUCGGGGCUAAUACCGGAUAUGAGCUCCUGUCGCAUGGCGGGUGUUGGAAAGUUUUUCGGUGAAGGAUGGGCUCGCGGCCUAUCAGUUUGUUGGUGAGGUAGUGGCUCACCAAGGCGAUGACGGGUAGCCGGCCUGAGAGGGCGACCGGCCACACUGGGACUGAGACACGGCCCAGACUCCUACGGGAGGCAGCAGUGGGGAAUAUUGCACAAUGGGCGCAAGCCUGAUGCAGCGACGCCGCGUGAGGGAUGACGGCCUUCGGGUUGUAAACCUCUUUCAGCAGGGAAGAAGCGAAAGUGACGGUACCUGCAGAAGAAGCGCCGGCUAACUACGUG
rnacentral:rRNA from 1 species